CCAAAAUAUUACAAUGCCAAACAGACUACAGAUCAACUGCCUGACCAUCCACAACCAAAAAAGAAAAAAUUCUUGAUAAAAAGUACCAAAAAACUGGGUUGUCCAGGUGUCAUGGCUGUGAGGACUGUGAGAGUCUACCAGGAAUUUACCGCAGCGGACUCGCAGAGGAAGAAGCAUGCUGUAAGUUAUGUACCUAAUACAGAUUUUAAGUUACAUCUUUUACCAAAUGCCACUUUAGUGCUUUGGUAACCAGUCAAUAUGCAAGUAGUUUUGAGCCCUCUGUAGGAACCUUAGAGAUCACAUGACAACUUAAUGUCUUUAUUUGCACAUUCACAAGAAAUAUAAUAUUACAUGAGAUGUGUUUCUGUCAUGGAUACUUAAAAGAGAAAUUGGCUUUGAAAUGUGAACUUGAAAAUGAGUGUGAUUAUGUUUUAAUAAGCAUAGCAAAAUAUACAGCCAACGUAGUUUUCUUCUUAAAUUUAUUUUAUACUGUAGAUAGUGCAAUAGUGGUUGGGAAUCAACAUAAAAUCACAUGAAUAUUCAUUAUCUCAAGUAUUACAACAUUUCCUGGUGCACGACCAUUAGUUUAGUAGGUCUUAUAACUAAGCAAGUUGUAGGCUUCGCGUGCAGGCAACUUCAUGUGUCUGGUGCACGCGGUGAACUGCCGUGAGGCAGUAAUCGUAGCAACGCCUACCUCCACCUGUGCAUGCAUUGGAACUUCUGACCACCACAAUCAUAACUUAACUUUUACGAAAAUGGUGUUCUUGUUAAUUUCAAUUGAUAGUGACAAUAUAUAAUAUUUCUUGUGAUGUUUGUAAUUUUAUAUGUGUAUGUAUACAAAAACAUGUACAAAUAUAAUAUUUCAGUGACAAAUAAAUUGAUAUUAAUAGCAAAAAUUAUUAUCUCCAAUCUUAAACCCACAUGAAUUCCACUAAUAUUUAUUACUUCCUAUUAUAUUUCAUGGUAAGCAUAUAUUUCAUAUAUUAAAGACAUAAAAAGUAAUUGGUAGGGCCUAGAAACACUGCUUUCAACAUCUUAAGAGAAAUAUAAUAAAUAUAAUGAAUCAAAUUGUACUUGUUAAAAUAACAUAAAAGUUUUUUAAUUCUUCGGUUAACAUAAUAGGCAAAACUCAUUUUAAUUUGGCAACCUAGAUUGAAGUGAAUUUCAAUAUCAUACUAUUAUGGGAAGUUAAUAGAUUAUACAUACAGUGGCAAAACCAUCCAGGCCUUCAAGAACCUAUAUUUAGAAGCAGUAUAAUAUUAGAACACGUUUACUUCACACUCAUAUGAUUAAUUUAAAACUUUUGUAUGUGAACAAUUUUUAUACACAGGAUGUUGUGUAAAUGUAACAUGAAUAUUAAUUACCUUACAGGCUAAAAAAUCACAAGUUGCACAAAUUUAGAUAUUAAGGUGUGUGUAUUUCCCAUAUGCUGAAUCGGCAGCUAUGUGCCUUAUGAAAAUAUUGUAAUAGUAUGUACUUUUUUUAUUCCAUUUUACUACAUACAAGAAGAUAAACUGCUUGAAGCCUUUAUGAACAAAAUGCAUAUUCAACCAUUUUUAAAGUUCGACAGCAGUCUCUUGCCAUUAUGUUAAUUCAUCUGCUACAGCCAUUAAGUGUUUGAUUAAUUGGUUGAUUGAACAUACGCUUGCGACUGAGCUUUCGCCUGGUGGAAAGGAGUUCUCUCUCUCCAACUCAUUCUCCUAAAAUUCUAAAACCUCCUCUGUAAGUCUUUUCCUCCUCUCACAUCCAGUAUCCCCCUUUCAAGCCCAUCCAACUCUCGCCCCAUCCGCACCAGAAAUACCUGCUUUCCUCUCUCGGUUAUCUCCACUCCUCUGAAUCUUCCACUCAUGAUCUCCCCUCCCUUUAUACCUCCCUCUGUUAAACCUAGCUCCCAACUUUCUCCAGCCCUCCUCCCCUUUAAUUAACAUAAACAAUUUCAUGAGUUUCCACUUUCCCCCUCCUUUACAGUGUGUCCAACUCUAGUUCGAUCAUUACCGUAUGUAACAGACCUUCUCAAUAAUAUUUUUAAAAGCUAUCCAUGUACCUUUCCUAACUUUUUGUCACUUUAGUUAACAUGGAGUAGCCUAAAUAAAUGGUGAAUGUAUCUCAAAUAUUUUUUUUCUUCCAACCUAUGCCACAUAAAAACAAAUACAAAUAUAUAUCUUCAUAGUUCAUUAAUAGAUUUACAUACUGUGGCAUGAAUACAAAUAUGAUACAAUGAAUGUGUUAACACUAAUUUUUCAAAGCAUCAAAUCUUUCACUUUCUUUUAAAUGCAUUGAAAAGAUGUCCAUGAUAUAAACAUAUACAAUCAUAAGAUUUUCCCAUUGAUAACCAGAGAUUCUAUAAGGUACGUAUUAAAUAUCAAUGAAAUAGUGACUACACCAGUGAUCCUGUAGGCUGUAAACUCAUGAACCUAUGUUAAUCUUCACAACCUAAAGAAGAUAAUAAAACUGAAAUAAAUAAAUUUCUCGCAAGAAAUGCAAAUACAACUGAUGCACCAUACAGAAAAAGUCCAUGUGUUAAAGCUCGAUACAAUAAAUUGAAGAAAAAAAUUAACGAAUAGGAAUGUGAACUAUCAAACCGACAAAUCAUAUGCUCAAACCAUACACGACUCCGCUCAUUAGGUAUUUCUUAUAAAUUUCUGAUACGUAUUUUAAAUGAAAAUGCGACAAAACAAUAUAACCUCAAUAACCGGUAAUAUUUUCUACAAGCAACGACCAUAUACCACCCCCGUGUUUACAUUCUUUGU